rnacentral:piRNA from 1 species
UCGCACAACUCGAGGCCGGAGGAAGAGU